AAGCAGAUGAUGAGUCACUCGGAUUCCCUUUCAAGACAUUUGGCCAAUGUAAUCUUGAGUUUCUGAUACA